rnacentral:rRNA from 1 species
UUGAAAGGGAAACGAUUGAAGUCAGUCGUACCUGCGGGUAAUCAGCCUUUUGGGCAUGAUUCUGUGGAGCGUGAGGAGUUAAACGCCUUCAUGCCUGCAUGUUCGUGUACAUUGGGUGUACUUGCCUGUGUGGUUAGUUAACAUCAAUUUUGGUUAUCAUAAAAUGGUUGGAGGAAUGUAGCUUCGAUUUCGAUUGAAGUGUUAUAGCCUUCGGCAGAUGUGAUGAUCGGGAUUGAGGAUUGCAACGGAUACCCUUCGGGGCUACCUGUCUGGUCUCUGAUCGUUGCUUUGGUGCCGAAAGCGUGCUUACGGUUAUCAAAGUCGAUGGUCAAUAGGUUAGAACGGGUUAAAUUCGUUAAGGAUGUUGACGUA